UACAGAGGGUGCGAGCGUUAAUCGGAAUUACUGGGCGUACAGCGUGCGUAGACGGUUAUGUAAGUCAGGUGUGAAAGCCCCGGGCUCAACCUGGGAAUUGCAUUUGAGACUGCAUAGCUAGGGUGCGGAAGAGGGAAGCGGAAUUUCCGGUGUAGCGGUGAAAUGCGUAGAUAUCGGAAGGAACAUCAGUGGCGAAAGCGGCUUCCUGGUCCAGCACCGACGUUCAGGCACGAAAGCGUGGGGAGCAAACAGG
rnacentral:rRNA from 1 species